CCUACGGGGGGCUGCAGUGAGGAAUAUUGGUCAAUGGGCGAGAGCCUGAACCAGCCAAGUCGCGUGAGGGAGUACUGCCCUAUGGGUUGUAAACCUCUUUUGUCGGGGAGCAAAAGCCGGACGUGUCCGGCUGUGAGAGUACCCGAAGAAAAAGCAUCGGCUAAACCCGUGCCAGCAGCCCCGGUAAUACGGAGGAUGCGAGCGUUUACCGGAUUUUUUGGGUUUAAAGGGUGCGCAGGCGGAUUUUUAAGUCAGCGGUAAAAUCGUGGGGCUCAACCCCGUCCAGCCGUUGAAACUGGGGAUCUAGAGUGUGCGAGAGGUAUGCGGAAUGCGUGGUGUAGCGGUGAAAUGCAUAGAUAUCACGCAGAACCCCGAUUGCGAAGGCAGCAUACCGGUGCACAACUGACGCUCAGGCACGAAAGCGUGGGUAUCGAACAGGAUUAGAUACCCUGGUAGUC
rnacentral:rRNA from 1 species